GUGAGGCGCGCCUAGGGUUCCGCCGUCACGGGUCUGGUCCGAGAGGCGCAGGCGGACUGCGGCGUCCGUUCCACGGCGGGAGAAAAGCCCGGGAGAC
rnacentral:sRNA from 2 species